rnacentral:rRNA from 1 species
UACGUAGGGGGCUAGCGUUGUCCGGAAUCAUUGGGCGUAAAGAGCGUGUAGGCGGCCCGGUAAGUCCGCUGUGAAAGUCGGGGGCUCAACCCUCGAAUGCCGGUGGAUACUGUCGGGCUAGAGUGCGGAAGAGGCGAGUGGAAUUCCUGGUGUAGCGGUGAAAUGCGCAGAUAUCAGGAGGAACACCGAUUGCGAAGGCAGCUCGCUGGGACGUUACUGACACUGAGGCGCGACAGCGUGGGGAGCAAACAGG